UAAGGAAUAUUGGUCAAUGGACGCAAGUCUGAACCAGCCAUGCCGCGUGGAGGAUGAAGGUCCUCUGGAUUGUAAACUUCUUUUAUCUGGGACGAAACACUUCUUUUCUAAGAGGCCUGACGGUACCAGACGAAUAAGCACCGGCUAACUCCGUGCCAGCAGCCGCGGUAAUACGGAGGGUGCAAGCGUUAUCCGGAUUCACUGGGUUUAAAGGGUGCGUAGGUGGGUAUGUAAGUCAGUGGUGAAAUCCCCGAGCUUAACUUGGGAACUGCCAUUGAUACUAUAUAUCUUGAAUACCGUAGAGGUGAGCGGAAUAUGUCAUGUAGCGGUGAAAUGCUUAGAUAUGACAUGGAACACCAAUUGCGAAGGCAGCUUACUAUGCGGUGAUUGACACUGAGGCACGAAAGCGUGGGUAGCAAACA
rnacentral:rRNA from 1 species